rnacentral:lncRNA from 1 species
UUGAUUGUUAUUGUAUACAACUUCCAAGUAUUCCCCUCAACCUGCUAGCAUUGAUGUUUACAUAUAUGAUAAAGGUAGCAAGAAGGGCGAAGGCCUACUUUCCCUAUGAUAUGGCUCUCAGCCUCAUCUUCAAAGAGUUCGGCAUAACUCCUAAGAGGGAGACUAGUUGAGUUCUGGUGCACUAUAACACCUACAAUGAGUGGUCACUACAUCAUAUAGGCUACUAGAAGUUAGAGGAGAGAUGGGUUUGGAUGAACUCUAGGCAGGAUACUUAAGAGAUGAGGUUGGGCCA